GACGAACGCUGGCGGCGUGCUUAACACAUGCAAGUCGAGCGGUAAGGCCCUUUCGGGGGUACGACGAGCGGCGAACGGGUGAGUAACACGUGGGUGACCUGCCCUUACGCUCUGGGAGUAAAGCCUGGGAAACUAGGGUCGUAAUACCGGAUAUGACUCCCAUAAACGCAUGUUGUGGGGUGGAAAGCCUUGUGCGGCUAGGGAUGGGCCCGCGGCCUAUCAGCUUGUUGGUGGGGUGAUGGCCUACCAAGGCGACGACGGGUAGCCGGCCU
rnacentral:rRNA from 1 species